GGCAUGUAUUUCAUUCUUCACAUCCACGGCCGUGCGGACUAUUUCUGCCGCCAGGAACCUUCACCUUCGCUAGUGAUUGCAGUAUUUGCUGGAAGAGCUUUCUGGCAGUUUGCAGGCGGGUCCUGGCUCUCCGGCAGUGCGGCCUAGUGGGGCUGUCGUUCCCUUGCGCGCAACAUGCUGCAGGCCUCUGCGAGUUAAGCAUGCUGGCCACUGAUGGCGUUUCUUUGUGGCUCUUCUGAGCUUUUUCUGGCUGGACAUCAGUGCCUGGUCUCGCUCCGUGAAGUGGGUCAACUCAGGGGUGGGUCUCCGAGCUUUUUGUGCAAGAUGAUGCUGGUUACAAGGCAGUUUUGUGAGCGUUAGGUGCAGAGCUCUGGAGCAAUGCGGCCCUCACAGUCAGAAGUCAAACAACGUCCCCCACAUUUAUUGUUAACUUAAAGGAUCACUAUAGUGCCAGGAAAACAAACUCGUU